UCUUAUGGAUGAGCAAAGAAAGUGGUUUCUGAGAUGGAAUGGAGUCUAUUUCUUGUGAAGAUGCUGUGAA
rnacentral:pre_miRNA from 2 species